rnacentral:tRNA from 1 species
GAGGGUAGAGCUCAGUGGUAGAGUGCAUGUCUAGCAUGUGUGAGGUCCUGGGUUCAAUCCCCAGUGCCUCCA